GGGCGGUCCGGGUUUUAAAAGACUGCUUUAACGUGACAGUUGACACCUGCAAUUGCAAGCUCAUACAAAAGAGUAAAAAACAGGGCAUUUAAAAAGAAUUUCAGUUUCAACUUUUACCCUUUAACCUAUUCUCUCUGCACAGCCUUCCUCUUCCUCGUGAUUCGUGUCCACCCCCACCCCACUCCACCCCAACCCACGAACAAACCAACAAAAAACUCACCAGUUACAGAUAGGGGCUGAGUAUGAAAGAGAGUCAAAGGACUUUUCGGCUAGCAUUUUGUGUGAGAAAGUUCUUUUGAACCAAUAAUACUGUAGUAUAUCUAUUGCACUAUUUAGCUCUCGCGUCUUUACUCUGUAUUGAACAAACGGCUCUUUCAGCUGAUGGCUAAGGCAUUGCAUGCUGCUGUACACUUUUUGGGCACAUGGGUUUUCUUCCCAAAUCCCAGAGGUAAAAUUUACGAAAUUGAGGAGUUUUUGUUUGUUUUACAUUUUUAAUGGCUUUUGUUUGGUGCAACGAAUGAUAGAUGUUUUGUCCAAUUUUCCUUUGUUAAUCUGUUUUGGAAACAUGGAUUUUGCCAUGGAAAGACCAAAAUCUCAAGAUCAAGUCAGUUAGUUGCCCAUCUUUUAUUUUAUCAAAUCAUUCAUCGAUUUCAUUGUUUUGCGUAUCAUUUUCUUUGAAUGGCUCAUUUGUGUUUCUUCCUUAUGAUUCUGAUUCUUGUCUAAGUUCAUUCUGGAUGGAGAGAAUGGUUUUUUAGUUUUGGCCAAAAGAAACAUUAAUAACUCGGUAAAUCAUGAGCCUUGUGCACAUGUAGUCAUGGACUGAUUCUUGUUUCUUUUGGAAAACGUUGAAGAAAUUCGAGACGUGGCUGCUAAACAGUUUGAAAUUUGAAACAUUUUUUGUGAAAGAAUAAUUGAGUAUUUCUGUUGAUGAAAGAGGUUAAAGAUUGUGAUGAAAUAUCUCUUCGUUUGCAAGAUGGGAGAAAAUUGACAAUUUCAUUUUUAGUUCUUUUAAAUGUAGAUGUUGAUGAAUUAUCAGUAUUCUUCUCUUGAAAUUUAGGGAGUUGGUUGCUUGAAUUUUUAACUAGAAACUCACCUAUACAGUCUCAAAUUAUUUCAAAUGGAUUUAUCUUAUUCACCAUGCCAGUCUGGGUCAUAAUCUGGAUCCAAGUAACAUUCUUGACCCACAUAUGAUUCAUUGCUACAAUUAUAACACUCUUUCCUGAAAACAUGAUGCACAACAAAGUACAUUCGACUCCAAAAGGCAUGAAAAAUAAGGUCAUCGCAACUCACGAUUAUUAUUGCGCAAAAUUACAUGGUAUUGGGUUAGUGAUUAGUUCAUAAUUAAUCGGAAAGCUGCUAAUACUAGUAACAUAUCUUACUUUCUCUUAUGUAACAUUGCAACCUGGUUCCAUCGUUAUGGCAUAGGGACCAUGCUAAAGUCUUGCUGCUCUGUGACUCUUUCUUUUCACAACAGUUGAUUUAAACUCACUCAUUUUGUUCAGGCCUGGAAACGGCCUCAAUGUUCACCUCAGAGAUUCGGGCUUGUUCAAGUUUGAAGAUGAAUGAAUCAGCACUUUGCUGAAACAUGUAGAUUGUUAAAUAUAUAAUUAUUGUAGUCGGGGAUGAAGCCAUUGGUCCGCAAAGCAUCAUUUCAACAUCUGUAACGUGUUGACGAUUCCCAUAAUGGGAUUGAUGUGAAACUAUAUCUUGUUUCUGGAGUUUUUAAGGAUUCUGAAGAUUCCAUGUUUUUUUUUUUUUUUUUUUUUCCUUUUUUGUGGGAAAUUUGAUGUCUAUGAAUUGCUUUUGUGAUUUCCAUAUUUAUCUAGCACCAAUUACCUGUUAGAGCAUUGAGGUUUCGAUUCCAAGUAUAGUAAAUGGAUAUUGGUGCAUGUAUGAGUGCCCUGGAUUUUCUGUUUUAGGUUUAAGUCAUCUUUUCUUCUAGUUUAGUGCCUGAUCAUCAAUGUCGGUAUUGAUGCGUAGUUUCAUAGUGAAUUGAUCACAAUUUUUGGAGAAAAGAAUCUUAUUAUUCGUUGCUGUAUGAGAAUACAUUUGUCAUAUCGGACUUAGAAUAUGU
rnacentral:lncRNA from 1 species